rnacentral:rRNA from 1 species
UACGAACUGCGCAAACGUUAUUCGGAAUCACUGGGCUUACAGGGUGCGUAGGCGGCGGGGAAAGUAGGGUGUGAAAUGCCUUGGCUCAACCAAGGCACAGCGCUCUAAACUACCUCGCUCGAGUGAGUCAGGGGUACGCGGAACUUCCGGUGGAGCGGUGAAAUGUGUUGAUAUCGGAAGGAACACCGGAGGCGAAGGCGGCUCACUGGGAGUUUUCUGACGCUGAGGAACGAAAGCCAGGGUAGCGAACGGG